UUUUGUUCUUUUAUUUUCUCUAUGCUAGUUUUUUUUCCAACAAUUGGUAUCAAAACUUUUGGUUUGGGGUAGGAAUACUUAAUAUGGUUUGUGAUUGCGGUCUGAUCUUCCGCAUCAUAAAGAAGUGUGGUAUUAUAAAAGUGUUGCAAUCAUAAGUUCUACCGUGAAGUUUAGGCUUAGAGAAAAUUGAUGGAAGCAUCAAUUUUGCCUUUUGGAAUUUUUGACAUGUGGAAAUUCUUGGAGGGGUUUUAGUUUCGAGGGAAGUGUACUCAUUAUGGUGGAGUAUGAUAGUUCUUUUCAACUAUGAUUGUCAAUUAAGACAAUGUUAAUUUUUUGAGUGAUUAUAUUUUUU
rnacentral:lncRNA from 1 species